rnacentral:sRNA from 1 species
UUUUAUAAUAUAUAUAUAAAACUGUUAGAGCAUGUUCAUAGGUAAUACUCACAAAGUAUCAUUAAAAAUUUUUUUAGUAUUAUUUAUAAUAUUUGUUU